CAAUAUUCACGCUUAAGGGGGUUCGCUGGUCUAAAUCAUUUAUAUAGGAUUUCUCUAUAUUUUUCUAUAAAUGAACUUUAUCUUAUAGUUAAUAGAAAAAUAAAAUAAAAAAGUGGGGUCACCGUUCAUUUGCGCUCACAAUCUGCCUUCGAAAGAAGCAUACAUUUUGGUAAAGGUGGUUUUUUUCUGUUGAAGUAAUAGGAGAAAUAAAGGUAAUAUCGAAAUAAAAUAAAGAAAUUUAUUACAGAAAUCGCUAAAAUUUUAAAAUAAUUUAGUUUAAGUACAGCUUAUAUGGAAAUUAUAUUAAAAAAGAUAGGUCACCGAUGAGUUAAAAAAGAUAUUUCAAUUUUAGAGCAAAAAAAUGGUUUUUUUCCACCAAAGGGAGAUAAUUUGGAACUUUUUCAAUGAUGUAUACAUUUUGAAAGUCAUCUGGGGCCAACACGAAUUGAUUGUUUUGAAUGAAUUUUGCACCAUAUGAUAAAGUAACAACUACAAAAGGAAAUAAAUAAAAUUUGUAAUGAAAAACAAAUGUUUGAUUUUUUCCUGAAAUUUUUAUACCCUCGAGCCUCCUUAAAAC
rnacentral:lncRNA from 1 species